rnacentral:rRNA from 1 species
AGAGUUUGAUCAUGGCUCAGAUUGAACGCUGGCGGCAGGCCUAACACAUGCAAGUCGAACGGUAACAGGAAACAGCUUGCUGUUUCGCUGACGAGUGGCGGACGGGUGAGUAAUGUCUGGGAAACUGCCUGAUGGAGGGGGAUAACUACUGGAAACGGUAGCUAAUACCGCAUAACGUCGCAAGACCAAAGAGGGGGACCUUCGGGCCUCUUGCCAUCGGAUGUGCCCAGAUGGGAUUAGCUUGUUGGUGGGGUAACGGCUCACCAAGGCGACGAUCCCUAGCUGGUCUGAGAGGAUGACCAGCCACACUGGAACUGAGACACGGUCCAGACUCCUACGGGAGGCAGCAGUGGGGAAUAUUGCACAAUGGGCGCAAGCCUGAUGCAGCCAUGCCGCGUGUAUGAAGAAGGCCUUCGGGUUGUAAAGUACUUUCAGCGGGGAGGAAGGGAGUAAAGUUAAUACCUUUGCUCAUUGACGUUACCCGCAGAAGAAGCACCGGCUAACUCCGUGCCAGCAGCCGCGGUAAUACGGAGGGUGCAAGCGUUAAUCGGAAUUACUGGGCGUAAAGCGCACGCAGGCGGUUUGUUAAGUCAGAUGUGAAAUCCCCGGGCUCAACCUGGGAACUGCAUCUGAUACUGGCAAGCUUGAGUCUCGUAGAGGGGGGUAGAAUUCCAGGUGUAGCGGUGAAAUGCGUAGAGAUCUGGAGGAAUACCGGUGGCGAAGGCGGCCCCCUGGACGAAGACUGACGCUCAGGUGCGAAAGCGUGGGGAGCAAACAGGAUUAGAUACCCUGGUAGUCCACGCCGUAAACGAUGUCGACUUGGAGGUUGUGCCCUUGAGGCGUGGCUUCCGGAGCUAACGCGUUAAGUCGACCGCCUGGGGGAGUACGGCCGCAAGGUUAAAACUCAAAUGAAUUGACGGGGGCCCGCACAAGCGGUGGAGCAUGUGGUUUAAUUCGAUGCAACGCGAAGAACCUUACCUGGUCUUGACAUCCACAGAACUUUCCAGAGAUGGAUUGGUGCCUUCGGGAACUGUGAGACAGGUGCUGCAUGGCUGUCGUCAGCUCGUGUUGUGAAAUGUUGGGUUAAGUCCCGCAACGAGCGCAACCCUUAUCCUUUGUUGCCAGCGGUCCGGCCGGGAACUCAAAGGAGACUGCCAGUGAUAAACUGGAGGAAGGUGGGGAUGACGUCAAGUCAUCAUGGCCCUUACGACCAGGGCUACACACGUGCUACAAUGGCGCAUACAAAGAGAAGCGACCUCGCGAGAGCAAGCGGACCUCAUAAAGUGCGUCGUAGUCCGGAUUGGAGUCUGCAACUCGACUCCAUGAAGUCGGAAUCGCUAGUAAUCGUGGAUCAGAAUGCCACGGUGAAUACGUUCCCGGGCCUUGUACACACCGCCCGUCACACCAUGGGAGUGGGUUGCAAAAGAAGUAGGUAGCUUAACCUUCGGGAGGGCGCUUACCACUUUGUGAUUCAUGACUGGGGUGAAGUCGUAACAAGGUAACCGUAGGGGAACCUGCGGUUG